rnacentral:lncRNA from 1 species
CUCCGGACUUACCAUUAUGCCUUGUACCAACACAUUUCCCUACCUUGAAUCCUAACUCCAACUCCACAUCCACCCUAACCCCACCUCCCAUGACUCUUUCUUUACCCUCAAAUCUCACUCACUCUCUUACCCCGGAUUCAACCAGCUCUAGCCCUGCCCUUCACCUCUGCCGUUGCCCGUGCCCCCACCAAUAAAAUCUUGACCUCUUCCCCUGUGCAGUUGGCUCCUUCUUAAUUAAAUGUCCUCUGCCCUCCCUGGAAGCCUUGAGCUCCCAUGUGCUUUGAGAUUCUGCUUCCAUCCUAGGCCUGGAAGCAGCCCAGGGAGGGAGGAGGGCUCCCCCAUUGAAAAUCUCAACAGGGGCCAUCCCAGGCUGCGGAUCUCCAGGGAUUUCCUGGACUCCUUCCUCCACUCCCACUCACGCUGGCCCCAGGGAUCCUCAGUUGUUAGAAGAGCUGUGGAGAGGGAUUCUGGGCAGGCGCUGUCUCAGACCAGAGUGGCUGUGGGAGGCUCCUCCCUGGUUAGUUUACUUUACACCCCCUCCGAAAGCGAGGACUCCCUCGUCUCCCCUGAUCUCUGUCUGCUCCCAACUCAAGCAUGAAAAUGACUUUUCCACAUGCUGGGCCUUCCCCCAUCCCCUCGCACACACUCACACUAUGCUCAGAAGCUUCCAGAAUCCCAAACCCGCCCCAAAGCUGCCACUUUGCAAAGGCUUCCUCUAAAGCCACAUCUGUCCCAGAGAGACCCCCGAAAGUGGAGGAAAGGGGUCGGCUGGCUGGAGUUGGGGCCCGGAGGCUGCCCAGAUCAGGAGGAAUGGGUGAGGGCUGAGGUCCCAACGGGAUGGUCAGAACCCUCUCCCCGCACCUCCCUCCUGCUUUUACCCCCACCCUCCCGCUUCCCCUCCCCCCCCCACCCCUCCCCUUCUCGUACCCUUCAGGCCUCCGAGGGAGGGUCAGCUCUGCCGGCUCAAGUUACAAGAACUUGAAGACAGGAAGAUUUAGCGAGGGAGCCGCGGCCAAGCACAGUGCGCUGUUUGUCCGCCUUUGAAACCAGAGGCUGCGAGGCGGGGGUGGGUGGGUGUUAGAACAGACUGUACAUUGUCCUCUCCAGGCCGGCGCCCCCUCCCCACAGCCCCGGCGAGUUCCUGGACGGGCGCGCGCAAGCACAGCGACCCCUACCGGCUCCUCCACUCUCCCCAGCCACCUCCUCCAGGAAGCUCGCUCGGGCUUCCGGGACCUGGAAGAGUCCUGUAGAGACUGUCUGAGAGAUGCUUUUGGCCUCCCAGACAUUUUGUCCUUGGGUCCUCACUAAUACAUCACGAGGUCUCUUCACUUGAACCAGUUGGGGGUAAACUUCGUUUCCCGUCGUGACCCUGCCUGAUACAGCACCUUCUGCCCAGGCCACAAAACAAGCCAUGGCCAGCGGGAGGCCAAGGGACAAGAGAGAGAUUGCCAGAGGGCAGAAACACACAGGACAAAAUGGGGCAGAGAAGCAGAAACAGGGAGAGAUUAAAAAGGCAAAGGCUGGCCGGGCGCUGUGGCUCAUGCCUGUAAUCUCAACAUUUUGGGAGGCCUGAAGGAGGUGGAUCACUUGAGCCCAAGAGUUUGAGAUCAGCCUGGGCAACAUAGCAAGACCCCGUCUCUGCAAAAAAAAAUUAAAAAAUUUAGCUAGGCAUGAUGGUUCACCCCUCUGAUUGCCUGAUUGCUUAAGUUCCAGGCUGCAGUGAGCUGCGAUUGCACCAUUGUACUCUGGCCUGGGCAACAGAGCCAGAUCCUGUCUCUAAAAAUAAAUAAAUAGAUAAAUAUAUAAGACAAUGACCAUCAUCUUUCUUCAUAGCCAAGAACCCUCAGCUUCGAGAGAUGAACUUUAAGGACCUCCUCCUCCCCAGGAAGGGAGAUAUGGAGCUCAUUACAAACCAGAGCCCAGAGCCCCACUUUACACCUGCAGGUUCAGUAACUAGAGAAUCAGGGACCCAGAGUCUGCAUU